UCAGAGGCCCUCCCUCUCACAAACAUGUCUGUGCAAACUGUGAGAAGAUAGUAAUGAGAGUGUCGUAAAAAAAAAAGUCUCUCUGAUCCACUUACCAAAGUAGCAGUCUUACGCCUCAAUCCCUAUAUCAUCGGAGUAGCAGAGAUUGGAGUAAGAAUUGUGAAGAAAAGUACUGCUUGGCUACCUGUUAAACUCAGCAACACCUCAGGCAAAGCAAAAAACAAUGUCUUCACCUUAUUAGUUGACUGAGAGGCUAAAUAAAUUGGGAGUUUGGCAAGUGUGACUUGCUUAC
rnacentral:lncRNA from 1 species